rnacentral:lncRNA from 1 species
GGGGUGGGCAGCCUGUGGAAGCGCUUGUUUCGCCCCGCCACUUAGUGCUCUUACUGAUGUAACGGCGGAUGGUCAAUGACCCACAAAUAGAAGAAUAAAGAAGAAGCUGGAGAGGAAAAGAUACAGAGACGACUAACACAAAAAUAAGUAAGCUUAGUCAUAGCACCCAAAAGGAGCCCUUCGCCUACAUAAGUUAGAGAAUAAAUAACAGUGGAAUCGGCGGAUGGUCGAUGACCCACAGACAGGAGAAUAAAGAAGCUGGAUAUGGAGAUGACUAAAAUAAGUGGGUUUAGUUACAGCACCCAAUAGGAGCCCCCUCGCCUAUGGCGUCUUGGACGGGAAAAGUCCAUGUUAGGACAGAUGAAAUUAAAGCCUCGAUAUUAGUGGUGGAUCAAGAAACAAUCCAACCAAUGAGAGACCAAGAGGCAGGGCGAGUAGCUAGUAAAAAGGGUGGAACCUCCAGUUCACAUCGCCUGUUGGUUAGGACACACUGCUUGCUGAUUGAGCCCACGUCGCCCGUUGGUAGAACCCUCCGAUUGAUAGAAGAAUUUAUUCCUAGAAGAACUCUUCGGCAGCCAGCCAGCUUGGCCCUUCCCUUCUCUCACAAGAAGCGCCAAAUCGCCUGAGGUCUCAUCUACCCUUUCGACAGAGUCAGGGAAGCUUAAAUUUUAUAUUUAUUAACCGUUAGGACACAUAGUUUAGAGAGG